rnacentral:tRNA from 1 species
UUCCUGGUGGCUCAGAUGGUAAAGAAUCUGCCUGCAAUGCAGGAGACCUGGGUUUGAUCCCUGGUUUGGGAA